rnacentral:rRNA from 1 species
AGCUUAUUGAAUUUUUAAUAAGUAUUUUCUGCCCGGUGAUUUUUAAACGGCCGCGGUAUUUUGACCGUGCAAAGGUAGCAUAAUCAUUUGUUCUUUAAUUGAGGACUAGUAUGAAUGGAUUUACGUAGAAAAAUUUGUCUCUUUUGAUUUUAUUGAAAUUUCUUUUAAGAUGAAGAAGUCUUAAUUUCUUAAAAAGACGAGAAGACCCUAUUGAGUUUUAUUUUUUAAAAAAAUUUUUUAUUUUUUGUUAAAUUUAGUUGGGGCAACUUAAGAGGAAAAAAAAUUCUCUUUUAUUUUAUUUUGAUCCAGUUUUACUGAUAAAAAGAAUAAAUUACCAUAGGGAUAACAGCGUUAUUUAUUUAAAGAGUUCUUAUCGAUAAAUAAGAUUGCGACCUCGAUGUUGGACUAAAAUUUCCUUAUAGUGCAGAAGCUAUUUAUGGUGGGUCUGUUCGACCUUUAAAAUUUU